CCCGAGGCUCCUGGCUCUAACUUUGGCUCCCUCCACUGUAUCCCCCAUAACACCAUGGAGGAGAGAGAUGGAGAUCUUAGUACUGGGGACAGUAAGCUGUGCAUCUGUGGUCUUCCUCCUCCUGACUGCCAUCAUCUGCUACAAGGCCAUCAAGAGGAAACCCCUUCGAAAAGAAGAGAACGGCACAAGCCGAGGGGAGUAUGCCAUGAGCUCACGCUGUAAACAGCAGGUAGUGGAAACCAAUAACACUGGAGUAUAGUGGCCAUGCUACAGCAAGGCAUGUACAGCUGAACAUUUUGUACCAUACAGCACCACCAUCUCUGUUUGGGUUUAUGAGAUGGACGCAAGGUAUAUUAUGAAUUUAGGAACUGUAAAUCAUGCCUGCCCUUCUUGAGACUUAAAAUUAUGUUUAAAGAAAAGACUAAGGUGAAUACUUAAUGACUGAUGUGUAUAGGCAAGUAUAAGCGGUUUUGAGGAGACACGGAAACUCAUACCGAUGCUGACAGCUGCACGAAUAUCAUGAGACUCAACCUGGCAGCCCCCCGGGGCCUCUUUGAGGACAAUAUACAACAUCAACAAAAUAAACGCAUGCACUUUCUGUUGAAUGCAGUGAUGUUUUAAAAUUCCUGUCUUCUAUUGUCUUUAACUCUCUUUGCAGUGUUCCUCAUUAAACGUUAAGGGUUCUCUCACCUCAUGUAGAUUGUGUGAGUGUUUAAUGGAUAAUUGACUGCAGUUGACCUAUCGGUAAGCCCCUCCCCUUGAAGGCAGAUGAGCCAAUGGCAGUCGAGUAUCAGUUAAUAGAGUUAAUAGAGAGUCAUAGAGAAACAUUGGAAGAUCCGAAGCUCGCAU